AAAAAUGGAUGAUGUAAAAACAGCAAACUCGGCACUUGUUUGGUAUUUUUAUGUGACAAAACGGAGACGUUUACGCUUGGCAAAAGAUAACCGUGUACGUAGAAUAGCGCUUCGAACAACAUAAAAAGUAAAGGUAAAAAGAGUUCACUGAAAUUGCACUAGCUUUUUUUCAUCGCCAAAGAACUAGAACACUGUGGAUGCACCCACGAACACAGAUCUGGUUUGAGAUGGUGGACGACACCUACAACGACGAGCUAUGGUAUGCUAACUUCAG